CUGCCCUGAGCACAGUGCUCUUUACGUGGCAGCAUCUCAGUGUGCAGGGAGCCUCAUCACAAUCUUCACACAACAGCAUACUUGAGCAAUAUUAUUUUCUCAUAACCCUGCUUAUUAGUUUUCUCCUUGAAUGAAUUUAAUUAUCAUUUACACUAAGAAAUUGCUUCAAAAUUUGUUAUCAUAGCUUCAUAAAGGAAAAUGAAUUUACCAUAAAGAUCAUAUGGAUAUGUUAUUCUUGUAUCAGGUAUAAAUGUUCUUCAGUUCUAAAAGAUAAAAAUUAUGACUGCCAUGUAGUUUGGUAAGUAGAAUGUUUGUCUAGUAUUCAGUAAUCCACAUUUUAUCUGCAGCACUGAGUAAAUGGGCCAUUGUGAUGCAGUCAUGCUCAUAAUCCAGGAAUUUAGGUAGAACUGCAGAAAGUUCAAGGUCAACCUCAAGUAUAUAGAAUGUUCACAAUCAGCAUAGCAAUAAGAUAUUUAUUUAAAAUAUCAAAUAAAAGGUGAAAAUAUUUUCAAAUGAUUUAUUAGAAAACCUGACUUACAGAAAUUGACCACAGUAACAUAAAUUGACAGAACAGAAUAUUUCUGUGAUUUUCUUCCCUUUUCAAAAGUUUCAGACGUACUUUACAACUAUGAGGAUAUGUUUUCUUUAGACUUGUAUUUUGAGGAUGUUUUCAUACUACUGAGUCAAAUGUUCACAAACAAAAGAAAUACACCAAUGAAUCAUUCAAUUUGUUUCAGAGUAUCUUAAGGUCACUAAGUAUAUUAAGUCUUAGGAUUUAAUGUUGAAUAGUAUUGAAUGAUAUAUUUCUAAUUGAGAAGUAGCAUUUGAAAAUUUGUUUUUUAUCUAGGUACUAGGAAAGGAGUGAACCUUUCAUUGAAAGUCCCGUGACUGGGUAGACAGAGUCCUCCCUUUUCUUACACUGGAAGGCUCAUUCCUCGGGUCCCCAGGCUGUUGCCUUUGGGUAUUCUCUAACCUUGUCUGUUGCUGCUUCGUGUUUCUAUUCUGAUAGUAUGUCUGUACGAGAAUGUAUUGUCUUCUAUUUAUUACACACUAUAAAGCCAACAAAAGCAGCUGAAAUUUUUAGUUUUAAUUUCUAAAAAUUAAAGAUACAGAAAUGAAACAUAGAUGCUGUCCUUGACUGACUAUAAAGCAUUGGUAUCACGUAGAAGCAUGUCUAUAGAUAUAUAUGCAAAGUUCGUUGAAAGUGUCACAUGCAUGCCAUGGCAUAUAACCAACUUAUAUUAGUAGAUUCUAUUUUGCAGAUACAGAAAUAACAUUAAGACAAAUACUAUAUUUAAAUUAAUUCAUAUUCAAAAUUAUAAUUUGACUUAAACAUAUACACAUUAAUGUGAAAUUGAAGAUUUUAUAAUUUGAGAUAUAAGUGUAGUGGUUUACUCUUUAAAGGGAAACUUGAAGACAAUUUUAUUAAAUUAUUAGAGAAAAACCCCUGGGUAGACAAAUGGUAAGUUCUGGCAGCUGCCUAGAUGACUAGAGAACAGAAAAAACAUCCAGUAGAAGUUAUUGAUGCUUUUAUAGUGCUACUACUUAUUUGUUGGCCAAGGUUAAGAAACCCAAUCUAGAUAUUUAAUAACUUUUAUGGGAGAUUUAAGUUUGCUUGACUCUCUUAAAAUCUUAUUAAAAUACCCCAUGUUAUAAUUUUCCAAGAAUUUUGAAAAAUUUUUGGACAAAUAAACAGUCUUCAUUUCAUUACAUUUUUGGAAAUCAGACAAUAACAUAUAGACCAAAUAUGUUUAUUAAAACAACUAAUCAUCAUGUGUGAUACAAUUUCUAUAUUUGUUACUUCAAUCUUCACUGAGAAUAAUGUUUGUAUUUGAAAUUUUAGAUACAUUUUAGGGAAAGGGAAGAAGGUGUGGAAUUUACUGACUUGACCUUGUGUUGUCAUGUGCAGACCUAUACUCACUGCCGAUGUUUGAAACUUCCAUUACAUUUAAGGAGAGAGGACAGACUUACAGCUGUGAAGCACAAGUCUACAUGCAGAUGCGCAUAGAGACAGCAUUUACAGAGAGGACUUUUGUUUUUAUCUGUGAAACAGCUUCGUUUUCCCAAAAACUAGAAUCUGAGUAAUUCUGUUGCCAUCUGUACAGUCAACCUUUAUAUGAACACAUACAAAUCUUUCCAGGGCAUGUGUUAGGGUAAUAGAAACUUGGAAGCACUUAUAAUAAGAUUCAUAUAUCCAAUUAAGUAUUGUUGUGCAGCAUCCUGUCAGCGGUAGUUUCUAAGCCUAGGCUUCUAACACCUCCUCAUGACUCUGUUUUGCUUCCUCACACACUUUACAUAAUUAUGUGUUCUGAGAAGUCUGGAAAUAUGUAUAGACUUCAACAAUUUAGAAGUAAGUCUCCUACCCACAAGUGUGAAAGACCUCUACUACUAAGGUUCUCAAUCUACUUAUGGACUCUAUAAACUGACAAACUUGAGAUAAACAAAGAAAUUGGAACUCAAAGCAUAAAUGUAGAAUUGGCACUCUGUUUUAAAACAUGGAUUAGAGACUUAAUUUUUAUGGUGCAAUAGUAAAAGGGGAUGCAAUGGAAUCUUACCAUCCAAAAGCCUAAAUGUAAUAUCCAAUAUCCUUUUUAUUUUAAAAACACCCUUGAGCAAACCAUUUUACU
rnacentral:lncRNA from 1 species